GAGUUUGAUCGUGGCUCAGGAUGAACGCUGGCGGCGUGCUUAACACAUGCAAGUCGAGCGAAGCGCUUUUGUGGAUUUCUUCGGAUUGAAGCAAUUGUGACUGAGCGGCGGACGGGUGAGUAACGCGUGGGUAACCUGCCUCAUACAGGGGGAUAACAGUUAGAAAUGACUGCUAAUACCGCAUAAGACCACAGUACCGCAUGGUACAGGGGUAAAAACUCCGGUGGUAUGAGAUGGACCCCGCGUCUGAUUAGCU
rnacentral:rRNA from 1 species